ACAGGCGCCAGGCGCUCCGGCCGCAAGGGAGCAGGGAGCCCUGCCAGCUGGGCCACCCGAGGGGCGUUGCGGGGCUCCGGGCGGGGUCGACCCGGGGGGCUCCGUCGGGCCCCACCAGCCUUGCGCCUUUUUCGCUCGGUCUCCUUGGCCUCCCGCUCCUGCGACGCCGCUUUCCUUUUCUCUUGCUCCCGAGCUCGGACCUCGGCCAGGGGCCCCGCCCGCCAGUUGGUCGCCUCCUGCAGCACCCUGGAGGCCCAGGGCCGGCGGGGCGGCGGCUGUGGGGAUCCCGGGCGCGGCCCACACCUGGGACAAUGAGCAGGAACCCAGGGUCUUGCUGUGUUGCUGAGCUGGUCUUGAACUCCUGGCCUCCCGCCUCAGUCUCCCAAAGUGCUGGGAUUACAGGGAAUGUGACUUCACUGGACGCAGUAUAAAGAUCUUCAGAUGUCCUCCUGCCGGGGAUUGCAGGGAUCACAGAAAGACCAUCGAGGUCCAGGAGCUACCUGCAAGCGGAGAUCCCUCUGGACGCCCCGUGCCUCACCCAGCAAAGCCGGCUCACAACCCUGCGCUCUCAAACCUCUAAAAGGGCUUGAGGUGCCAAUAGGAAAGGAGGCCCGAGAUUGCCACGGCAUACGUGGGCCCCAAGGAGGGAGCCAGGAGUCACUGCCUGCUUGGGCUAAGGGUACCGCGUACGGAAAGGCGGCGGGGACGCGGCCCAGUUCCAGGAGAUGCGCCCAACGAAGAAGCGGAGGAACAGGGUCACGGGAUAGGGCAGACACCCGGCUGCUUUUUGUUUGCUAGACACCAGCGCCAGCCCCUGCCCGGCCCUCCCGGUCUCCUAAGGGUUGGGGGGGUGUCUUAGGCUCCACAGCGCCCCCGACCGCCCUCCUGCACUCCUCACCGUCUCCAUUGCAAGAGGCGCCCGGCUUGGUUUCCUCGCUUUAGGAAACUCUCUUGGGGCAGGCCCCGCCCCACAUCCGGUGCGGCGACGCCACUUCCGCCCACGUCAUGGCAGUCGCCAGACUGGGGCGGAAGGCAAGGAACCCACCCUUCCGGCGGUGGCGGGCCUCGGUAACCGCCCUCCCCCGGGUCCUCGCGGACCGCACGGAUCCGGCUGACGGCGAGGGUCAUGGGACGGAGCCGCUUGUAUUUAAAAUGUUCUUUUUUUAUUUGUCGUUUAAAAACAAACUUGGAAGAAGCAAAAUCCAAAACUUGCCCUUUGCCUCUCGCAACAUAAAUAUGUACAGUUCAGAAUGAUCGCUGAUACAAAACAUGCCAAGGACAGGGGCGCUGAGGGUGGAGGGAGAGAGGGCGCUUUAAAAAAGGGAACCAUUUCAUCCGUUGUUACGAAGGACCAACCUUGCUGUACAGGAUACACACAACACAAAAUAAAGUCUUCACGGGAUU
rnacentral:lncRNA from 1 species